ensembl:snRNA U6 U6 spliceosomal RNA
GCUGCUUUUUAGGCAGCACAUCCUUAAAUUGAAACAACACAGAGAAGUUUAUCACAGUUCCUGGCCCAGGAGUACCCAUAAUUCUGUGAAGCUUACCAUAGUAAA